AGUGAACGCUGGCGGUAGGCCUAACACAUGCAAGUCGAACGGCAGCACAGUAAGAGCUUGCUCUUACGGGUGGCGAGUGGCGGACGGGUGAGGAAUACAUCGGAAUCUACUUUUUCGUGGGGGAUAACGUAGGGAAACUUACGCUAAUACCGCAUACGACCUACGGGUGAAAGCAGGGGAUCUUCGGACCUUGCGCGAUUGAAUGAGCCGAUGUCGGAUUAGCUAGUUGGCGGGGCAAAGGCCCACCAAGGCGACGAUCCGUAGCUGGUCUGAGAGGAUGAUCAGCCACACUGGAACUGGGACACGGUCCAGACUCCUACGGGAGGCAGCAGUGGGGAAUAUUGGACAAUGGGCGCAAGCCUGAUCCAGCCAUGCCGCGUGGGUGAAGAAGGCCUUCGGGUUUUAAAGCCCUUUUGUUGGGAAAGAAAAGCAGCAGGUUAAUACCCCGCUGUUCUGACGGUACCCAAAGAAUAAGCACCGGCUAACUUCGUG
rnacentral:rRNA from 1 species